rnacentral:rRNA from 1 species
ACGUAGGUGUCAAGCGUUGUCCGGAUUUAUUGGGCGUAAAGCGCCCGCAGGCGGCUUGCCAAGUCUGACGUGAAAUCUCCCGGCUCAACUGGGAGGGUGCAUCGGAAACUGGCAGGUUUGAGGCAGGGAGAGGGAUGUGGAAUUCCAGGUGUAGUGGUGAAAUGCGUAGAUAUCAAGAGGAACACCAGUGGCGAAGGCGAGUCCCUGGACAACACCUGACACUGAGGCACGAAAGCUAGGGGAGCAAACAGGA